ACGCACGGCACGACAGCAGGCGUCCACAUCCCUCUUGCCCAGAGCCCCAGACAAAGAAAAAGAAACCCAAAAGCAAAUCGCGCACCCCCAGUCCCCCACCGUCCCACGCCAUGCGGCCGCCCCCUUGCUAACCAACCACGGCGCCGCGCGCGCGCAUCGCCGUCGCAAUGGCCGCCGCCGACUCGUCCAAGCCCGCGCGCGCGGCCACGCUCCCCGCCCGCACGCUCCUCCUGGCGCUCCCCUUCCUCUCCCUCCUCCUCCUCUUCCUCUACGUCUACUCCACCACCUCGUGGCGCCCUGCAUCAGGCCUCCCCGCAACCGCCGCAACAACAACAACAACAACCGUCGCCACCACCACCACCACCACCGUGCCGCUGACCCCCUCCCCUCCGUCCCCGCACAUCCGGAUGCGGCGGUCCCGGUACCGUUCCUACGACGACUACCUCCGCCACCAGCUGAACAAGACGCUGGACCCGCGGCUCCGGCGGGUGUGGGCGACGCGGGACUGGCAGCGGAAGGUGGACGCGUUCGCGCGCCUCUUCGCGGGGCUCCGGGACGAGGGCCUCCUCUCCAACGCGUCCCGCGCGCUCUGCGUCGGCGCGCGCCUGGGCCAGGAGGUGGCCGCGCUGCGCCAGGUGGGCGUCCGGGGCGCGCUCGGCAUCGACCUGGCCCCGGCGCCGCCGCUCGUCGCCCGCGGCGACUUCCACGCGCAGCCCUUCCCCGACGCCACCUUCGACUUCGAGUUCUCCAACGUCUUCGACCACGCGCUGUACCCGGACCGCUUCGCCGCCGAGGUGGAGCGCACGCUGCGCCCCGGCGGCGUCGCCGUGCUCCACGUCGCCGUGCACCGCCGCGGGGACAGGUACUCCGCCAACGACCUGCUGGACGUGCGCGGCCUCGUCGGCCUGUUCCGCCGCUGCGACGUCGUGCGGGUGUCCAAGGUCGACGCCUUCGGGCUCGACACCGAGGUCAUCCUCCGCAAGAAGGGGUCGUCUCGCCGCUGACGACGUCUCUAGCCAUGCGUCCAUCCGCUGGGUCCUCCACAACAGUCACCGACCGAAUACACGAUCCAAUCUUGGCUUGCAAACUACGAACGGCAGAGAGAAAAAGGCAAGUGUUGGGCAUCGAUUUAUUUUGGUUUCUGUACUACUAAUUGUGGCAUUGUACCAACACCUAGCAAACACAGUAGGCAUCCAUCUUGUUCUUGCUUUGUAUACCUAGGCACCGAAUUGGUGGUAGUUAGGAAAAAACAAUUGAGUUCAAUUGAAUUGAAAUCAAUCCGCUUUGAUUUAUGUG
rnacentral:misc_RNA from 1 species